rnacentral:rRNA from 1 species
AGUGAACGCUGGCGGUAGGCCUAACACAUGCAAGUCGAACGGCAGCACAGUAAGAGCUUGCUCUUACGGGUGGCGAGUGGCGGACGGGUGAGGAAUACAUCGGAAUCUACUUUUUCGUGGGGGAUAACGUAGGGAAACUUACGCUAAUACCGCAUACGACCUACGGGUGAAAGCAUGGGAUCUUCGGACCUUGCGCGAUUGAAUGAGCCGAUGUCGGAUUAGCUAGUUGGCGGGGUAAAGGCCCACCAAGGCGACGAUCCGUAGCUGGUCUGAGAGGAUGAUCAGCCACACUGGAACUGAGACACGGUCAAGGCUCCUACGGGAGGCAGCAGUGGGGAAUAUUGGACAAUGGGCGCAAGCCUGAUCCAGCCAUACCGCGUGGGUGAAGAAGGCCUUCGGGUUGUAAAGCCCUUUUGCUGGGAAAGAAAAGCAGCAGGUUAAUACCCCGCUGUUCUGACGGUACCCAAAGAAUAAGCACCGGCUAACUUCGUG